AGCCCAACUGCUAUAUAAUUUUUAUUUUAUCACUCUUUUAUUUUCCCUUUCUCACGACUGCUUGGCUUCACUCUCCACUACCUUCAGUCCGCCUGAUCCGAAACACAGUAGGACACAAACUUCUGCAGAUUGGAUUUCAAGAUGGACUUGAGGUUGGAAGCCAACUUGGAGAUGGAAUUGCAACUGGGUUUUCGACACAAAAGAGUUCCCCAACAUAAAGCUUGCAAUCAGCUUCAUCCUCCUAUUCCGUGAAGAGAAAUUGGUGAUUUCGAGGAGAGAAUUGGCCUAGGCUCACGGUGAUUUGUACCGGGUACAAAUCAAGUACAGGAGCUGUGGUGUCACAAAUUUCAGAGUUCCAGAAAUUGAUUCGAUAGUACCAGGCGAGGACAGCAGCUGCAGUCAGGACCCCAGAGCUUCAAUUUGAGGGAGGGACUGUUCUGUUUAUAGAACAUCGGAGACGCUGCUCCGGUAUAUUCAUCGGGACGCUGCCCGGCAUGAGUUCAUCGGGUCGCUGCCCGACAUGGUUUCAUCAGGACGCUGCCCAACAUGUUGGCUUUGACAUCAUUGACACCCGAAGGUGCCGUUGUGAGGAGGGCUGCAACAGAAAAGAGAAGGUGGUGGAGAGCAAUGGAAUGAGGUCUGAACCUUUUGUCUUCCAAGCUGCUUGCUGCUUUCUCCUUCUUGUAGUUUUUCCACGCUGCUGUGCUCCGUUGUCCUCCCUCUUUUCUUCUUUUCAUGUAGUGUUUUUAUACUACACCCAAGAUGAGUUUGGCUUGUAUACAACACAGAGGGUUUUAGAGUUCAACUUGAAGUGAACUAGUUGGACAUUUUAUCUCCUUUUUCUUUUGACGUGAAGACUGCAGCUUCUUUUUCAAUUGCUUGUCUAGACUUUGAAACAAGCUAGAAGUCAGCAGCUUAAUUGUUUCUUUUGUUUAAAGCUUCACUAGCUGUCAAACUCGUCCGCUAUUUUUCUUGAGAUAAAAGGCUUUUAAUAUUACA